rnacentral:rRNA from 1 species
AUUGAACGCUGGCGGCAGGCCUAACACAUGCAAGUCGAACGGUAACAGGAAGAAGCUUGCUUCUUUGCUGACGAGUGGCGGACGGGGGAGUAAUGUCUGGGAAACUGCCUGAUGGAGGGGGAUAACUACUGGAAACGGUAGCUAAUACCGCAUAACGUCGCAAGACCAAAGAGCGGGACCUUCGGGCCUCUUGCCAUCGGAUGUGCCCAGAUGGGAUUAGCUAGUAGGUGGGGUAACGGCUCACCUAGGCGACGAUCCCUAGCUGGUCUGAGAGGAUGACCAGCCACACUGGAACUGAGACACGGUCCAGACUCCUACGGGAGGCAGCAGUGGGGAAUAUUGCACAAUGGGCGCAAGCCUGAUGCAGCCAUGCCGCGUGUAUGAAGAAGGCCUUCGGGUUGUAAAGUACUUUCAGCGGGGAGGAAGGGAGUAAAGUUAAUACCUUUGCUCAUUGACGUUACCCGAAGAAGAAGCACCGGCUAACUCCGUG